GAUGAACGCUGGCGGCGUGCCUAAUACAUGCAAGUCGAGCGAACAGACGAGGAGCUUGCUCCUCUGACGUUAGCGGCGGACGGGUGAGUAACACGUGGAUAACCUACCUAUAAGACUGGGAUAACUUCGGGAAACCGGAGCUAAUACCGGAUAAUAUAUUGAACCGCAUGGUUCAAUAGUGAAAGACGGUUUUGCUGUCACUUAUAGAUGGAUCCGCGCCGCAUUAGCUAGUUGGUAAGGUAACGGCUUACCAAGGCAACGAUGCGUAGCCGACCUGAGAGGGUGAUCGGCCACACUGGAACUGAGACACGGUCCAGACUCCUACGGGAGGCAGAAGUAGGGAAUCUUCCGCAAUGGGCGAAAGCCUGACGGAGCAACGCCGCGUGAGUGAUGAAGGUCUUCGGAUCGUAAAACUCUGUUAUUAGGGAAGAACAAAUGUGUAAGUAACUAUGCACGUCUUGACGGUACCUAAUCAGAAAGACACGGCUAACUACGUG
rnacentral:rRNA from 1 species